UUUCUAUGUGUUAGGUAGAGCUGCUUUGACUCCGUGUCUUGGUAGCGUGGCCUAAUGUAGUAGGUGUCCUGAAGGUUCCAGUGGCUCAGCCUCCCCUAUCACCCAAGCCAAGUACUCGAGGUGUACCCAUUGUGUGGGCUGAGUUCAUCCUCUUCUUAUAGUUGAGCCUUGGUUGCUGUUGGCAGAUCAACGGAUUUAUCCAGGCC